GACGAAGGGGGCAAGCGUUGUUCGGAAUGACUGGGCGUAAAGGGCGCGUAGGCGGCUUGGCAAGUCAGGCGUGAAAUUCCUGGGCUCAACCUGGGGGCUGCGCUUGAGACUGCUGGGCUUGAGGAUGGAAGAGGCUCGUGGAAUUCCCAGUGUAGAGGUGAAAUUCGUAGAUAUUGGGAAGAACACCGGUGGCGAAGGCGGCGAGCUGGUCCAUUACUGACGCUGAGGCGCGACAGCGUGGGGAGCAAACAGG
rnacentral:rRNA from 1 species